GAACGGGUAGCUCAGUUGGAAGAGCAUUCGCACGUAACGCGAGAGGUCGUGGGUUCGAGUCCCGCAUCGUUCA